UACGUAGGGGGCGAGCGUUGUCCGGAUUUAUUGGGCGUAAAGAGCGUGUAGGCGGUUCGGUAAGUCUGUCGUGAAAUCCUGAGGCUCAACCUCGGGCGUGCGAUGGAUACUGCCGGGCUAGAGGAUGGUAGAGGCGAGUGGAAUUCCCGGUGUAGCGGUGAAAUGCGCAGAUAUCGGGAGGAACACCAGUAGCGAAGGCGGCUCACUGGACCGGUACUGACGCUGAGGUGCGAAAGCGUGGGGAGCAAACAGG
rnacentral:rRNA from 1 species